GACGAACGCUGGCGGCGUGCCUAAUACAUGCAAGUCGAGCGCAUGCACCCGGCGGACCUCUUCGGAGGGAAACCGGGGAAUUGAGCGGCGGACGGGUGAGUAACACGUGGGCAACCUGCCCUCCCGACGGGGAUAACUCCGGGAAACCGGAGCUAAUACCCGAUCAUCAAGCCGAUCUCCUGAUCGGCUUGUAAAAGCAUGGUCUUCGGACCAUGCACUGGCGGAUGGGCCCGCGGCGUAUUAGCUAGUUGGAGAGGAAAGGGCUCUCCAAGGCGACGAUAGGUAGCCGACCUGGAGAGGGGGUCGGCCACACUGGGACUGAGACACGGCCCAGGCUCCUACGGGGAGGAACAGGAGGGAAACAUUCGCAAAUGACGGAAAGCUGGCGGUGCAACGCCGCGUGGGUGAUGGAGGGUUUCGGAUCGGAAAGCUCUGUUGUGAGGGGAGAACAAGGGCGGUACUAACAGAGCCGCCCCCUGACGGUACCUCACCAGAAAGUCCCGGCUAACUACGUG
rnacentral:rRNA from 1 species